CAGCCGCCGCGGUAAUACGUAGGUGGCAAGCGUUGUCCGGAAUUAUUGGGCGUAAAGGGCUCGCAGGCGGUUUCUUAAGUCUGAUGUGAAAGCCCCCGGCUCAACCGGGGAGGGUCAUUGGAAACUGGGAAACUUGAGUGCAGAAGAGGAGAGUGGAAUUCCACGUGUAGCGGUGAAAUGCGUAGAGAUGUGGAGGAACACCAGUGGCGAAGGCGACUCUCUGGUCUGUAACUGACGCUGAGGAGCGAAAGCGUGUGGAGCGAACAGGAUUAGAUACCCGCGUAGUCCCUGUCUCUUAUAC
rnacentral:rRNA from 1 species